UUGGUUUUGUUUUCUCUCCUUUUUGAAACUGUUCACCUUUUUAAAAAUGUUUAUUAAGAAUUGUAUAAUGGUCAUGUGCAAGCGUGAGGGUGGAGCUGACGUAAUUUCCGGUGUGCGCUCUCUUUCGCGGGAUUUCAAUGCGAUGAGAGGCACUUCUCGAUCAGACGUAAUCCUGUUACUGCCUGAUGCUGUCUGUUGUGUGUAACACAGGUAUGUAAAUAGAUAAUUUCAGUGUUCGUUCCUAUUCUUAGAUUUUCUUAUUUCUCAUGUUACAAUUGUAUGUUUGAUAUUUUGUUUUAAUGCUCUCUUUCGCGGGAUUUCAAUGCGAUGAGAGGCACUUCUCGAUCAGACGUAAUCCUGUUACUGCCUGAUGCUGUCUGUUGUGUGUAACACAGAGGAGAGAUCCCGAGAGGCCAAAAGUAAACCAUUUGACAACUGCA